UACAGAGGGGGCAAGGCGUUAUUCGGAAUUAUUGGGCGUAAAGGGCGCGUAGGCGGCCUGGCAAGUGGAAGGUGAAAUCCCUCGGCUUAACCGAGGAACUGCCUCCCAAACUGCUUGGCUUGAGACCGGGAGAGGUGAGUGGAAUUCCAGUGUAGCGGUGAAAUGCGUAGAUAUUGGGAGGAACACCAGUGGCGAAGGCGGCUCACUGGACCGGUACUGACGCUGA
rnacentral:rRNA from 1 species